rnacentral:lncRNA from 1 species
AGGAGACGUGUCCCGCUGGCUGGACCCAAAAAUGAGCCAUGCGGGAGGCAGCCGUGGCUGGGUUUAGGCUUGGCCUUUCAGGAGGUCUGGAGACAUUGCUUUGGUGUGUAUGCCUGCUCCAGAGUGGGGCAAACUCCCACAGCUGCACCCAAAUGAGGGACCAGAGCAUCCCCACACUGGGGACAGGGGCAUCCCCACACUGGGGACUGCAGCAUCUCCACACCAGGGACCGGAGCAUCCCCACACAGGGGACUGGAGCAUCCCCACACUGAGGACUGGGGUAUCCCUACACUGGGGACUGGAGCAUCUCCACACCGAGGACAGGGGUAUCCCCAUAUCGGAGACAGGAGCCUCCCCACACUGGGGACUGGAGCAUCCCCAUACCGGGGACAGGGGUAUCCCUACACUGGGGACCGGAGCAUCUCCACACCGAGGACAGGGGUAUCCCCAUACCGGGGACGGGGACAUCCCCAGACUAGGGACCGGAGCAUCCCCACAUCAGGAACAGGGGUAUCCCCACACUGCGGACAGGGACAUCCCCACACCAGGGACCGGAGCAUCCCCACACCGGGAAUAAGGGCAUCCCCAGACCAGAGCAUCCCUGCUGUCACGCCCCCCCCUGCAGGUUUCCAUGCUCCCUGCCAGCACUGCACGGCUGCUCCCGGCCCC